UAUACACAUAUAGUAUAUACAUCAACGACGGUUCGGCAGUGCAUUGCAACGAAUAGACGCCCACGGGUAUAUAAUAUUUACUUACUUACUCUUAGCCGAUCCGCGGUAUAAUAAUAAAUACUAUACUAUACUAAUAAUAAUAAUAUUUUCAACACGAAUUGACUGUACGUUUUAUUCGCCGUUGUCAUCUAUAUCGUGAUUUAUUUGAUUUAUUCAUCCAAUACAACGUCCUUCCGGUUUAGUUUCGACACUGGUUCGUACACCAUCACCUGACGCCGUGACAGUGCAGCGGUCACGCACCAUCGUCAGCACCUAUAAUAUAUAGGUACCUUUAUCGGCUAUUGUCAAUACACCGACACUUAUCGUCAUCAUUAUGUACUCGUCGAAACCCGUGACCUAUGUCAGAAGGCUGCUUUUGCAUCGGACAAUUCAGUUCCGACGGAAGAAGUCGUCGGCUGGGGCAGCGGAAUCGAACGCAAAGGUCGUAAACGACGUACGCCACGUCCGGGGCGAGUAUAGCAGCGUGACCCACGUCGACGUCCUUCACUUCCGGUCGUUGCUGGGCGAACCAAACGUGCUGACCGGCGCCCAAAACGUCGGGCCGUACAACGUGGAUUACAUGAAACACGCGUCGGGCGAUAGCGGGCUGGUGUUAAGACCGAAAACCGCAGAAGACGUGUCGGACAUACUGAAGUACUGCAACGACAGGAGCAUUGCGGUGUGCCCACAGGCUGGCAACACGAGCUUGUCGUGCGGUAGCGUGGCGCUAUUCGACGAGGUGGUCUUAUCCACGGAGCGGAUGAACAAAAUAAUUAAUUUCGAUCCCGUGUCCGGGGUGUUGGUUUGCGAGGCGGGAUGCGUGCUCGAGUCGUUGAUGAAGCACGUACAUGGUCACGGAUACAUGAUGCCGUUGGACUUGGGGUCAAAGGGCAGUUGUCAGAUCGGCGGCAACGUGUCGACCAACGCCGGCGGCAUACGCGUCAUACGUUACGGCACGCUGCAGGGGUGCGUCUUGGGCCUAGAAGCCGUCACCGCGAAUGGUACAAUUUUGGACUGUUUGAAUACAAUGCGAAAAGACAACACAGGAUACCAUUUGAAGCAUUUAUUCAUUGGUUCAGAAGGCACGUUGGGCAUUGUCACCAAAGUAGCGAUAUUGUGUCCAAAUCUUCCGAAGCACGUAAACGUGGCAUUUAUUGGAUUGGACAGUUACGAUAAAGUGCUCAAAUUGUUUUCCAUUGCUCGUGCCGAGUUUGGAGAAACCUUAUCGUCGUUUGAACUCCUGGACAAAACGGCUGUGACGUACGUGGAAAGCAAACUUCACCUCUCAUGUCCGAUCACCAAUAUCCAUCCUUUCUAUGUACUCAUCGAACUCGCUUCCAGUCAACCGACUGUCGGCCAACACAUGGAAAAUGUCCUGGAAAAAGCUCUCGGUGACUCGGUGAUCUCCGAUGCCACAACGACCGAUCAGAUGUCCAGCAUACACAAAAUAUGGAAAGUUCGUGAGACAGUAAUUGAAGCAUUAUUAAAGUUGGGCUACGUAUACAGCUUCGAUAUAUCGGUACCUCUGAGCCGAUUUUAUGAAAUUGUUGAGCUAACCAGAGAAAAACUUAAGGACAUAGCAGUUGUCAAAACCGUUUGUGGAUUUGGUCACAUAGGCGACGGUAAUUUGCAUCUAAACGUUGUGACAUCGCAGCGAGACGAAGAACUGGCUCGGAUGAUUGAGCCGUUCAUUUACGGGUGGACGUCCAAGUACCGCGGAAGCGUCAGCGCCGAGCACGGCAUCGGUUUGUCAAAAACGAAAUAUUUGGAGCACACUAAGAGUGGGCCGGCCGUCGACCUUAUGCGGAGCCUGAAAAAUACCAUGGACCCAAAGUGUAUAUUGAACCCUUACAAAGUGAUCCCGGCCGUGGCGACCGGCGAUCAGUAAUCCGGGAUCGGAAAAAAACAUAAUAUUUUUAUAUUUAUAAUAUAACUUGUACGUCACACGUGGUAAUAAACUUUGGUACGUAUAAAAUGGAUAGCAGUAAUACGAGUGUGUACACGACACCCAUAUUCUUUUUAUUUGAUUUGUACAGUAAAUUUUAUCAUUCUGUAAAAUGCGAUAUAAAUUGUUGGAGUUUCAAACAAAAAUGUUGAACAAGAAAAUAAUUACACUACACAUUUAGUGAACAAAACAAACAAGGAUAUUAUAAGACGUAAUGUUUCAAAUAAAGUAAGAAAUUUUAUUUUAUUUCAUUUUUUAAAAAUAAAAUUAUCUCUCUUUUGUGUUUGCUAAAUACAAUUCUUUGAUUGUUUAAAGAAAUAAUCCAAUAAAUACACAAUUUUCCUCGUUUUUUAUUUCAGUUAAGAUACGUUAUUUAUGACAGUUAUAAUGAUGCUGACAGCCACUAGUUGAUGGUUGAGUGUGCGAAAUAAAACCAAUAAAAAAAUAUUUAACGAGUUCACUUAUUACUUCUCCGGUCACACAAAAUUUGAUAAGCUUAACGGCUCAUUUAAAUCGAAUGGCCCAAUCAUAGGUCGUUGUUCAAUGUUUAAGGAACUGUUCAAUAUUUGAUGAUCCGUUUAACUGUAAUGGAUAUUUUUGGUUUCUGUAACGCGGCAUUUAUAUUAUACAUUCUAAAAAUACUUGAGCAAAUUUCAAAUCAAGAAAAUUAAUUUAAGUUAUAUGUAAAUAAACUAUUCACCAUUAAAA